UGAUCGGCCGAACGUUUGCGGAAGUAGUUCGCGCCGGCUCGAGUCGGGAAAUUCCACCCCGCGAGCAGAUGUAAACAGAGGCGCGUUCACUUCCAGUGACCAGACACACGACUGUGAUCAUUAAGUGGUUGUUGAUGGAGCCAGUCUUGUUUGGUAACCAGCAACAAUCAUAAAACAGUCAAGAAAGUCAUACACAACAUGAGGAUUCUGCAUACUGAGAGGAAGUCAAGCAUGCAGGGGAAAUUCCUAAACAGCUGAGUCGAGCGAGUACACCACAGGAACCUGUCAAACACACUGUUCCCCUCGAUCUAACCAAAAGAGGAUGUGCAACGCCUA